rnacentral:rRNA from 1 species
UACGGAGGGGGCUAGCGUUGUUCGGAAUUACUGGGCGUAAAGCGCACGUAGGCGGCUUUGUAAGUUAGAGGUGAAAGCCCGGAGCUCAACUCCGGAAUUGCCUUUAAGACUGCAUCGCUAGAAUUGUGGAGAGGUGAGUGGAAUUCCGAGUGUAGAGGUGAAAUUCGUAGAUAUUCGGAAGAACACCAGUGGCGAAGGCGACUCACUGGACACAUAUUGACGCUGAGGCACGAAAGCGUGGGGAGCAAACAGG